UUUGGCAAAACUCGGACGUGACAAUUUUUAAUUUUAUUAAUAAUUGAUUUGUUUGAUUUUAAUUUCUAUUAUGAAAAAUGAAAAAAAAAUUCUAUUAGGAAAAAUGAAAUUUGCAAACUUGGAUCUAUUUAAUUUGGUCUAAAAAAUAAUAUUUUAUAAUUAAGCAUUAUACUAGAAUAAUAUACAUAUAAAAUAAAAUUUAAAAUAUUUAAAUAUUUAUAAUAUUUAUUGUCACGCCCCGGAUUACUCGUUUUUCCGGACACGCCGACAAAUCCGCCGUAUACAAAGGAAUUUUUUCUGUAUACGAAGCGAUAGCUAUACCUGUAAACAUACAAUACUAUAACUAGUAGUAUAGAACUGUUAAAAAGAAAAGCAUAUAUAAAUAACAUCGGUUCUGUACAUAUAUAGUAUUCUGGUACAUAAAUACUCGCUCCAGCGAGGAACAACAUAAGUAUGUAAAGAACCAAAAACUACAACUAUCUGUAGCUGGUAAAAUGUCUCUAGGUCAGUAGCAACUGGGAAGAGAUCUAACUCGCGACUCCCUUUCCACUAUCCGAAUCAGCAGUAGCAGCAGCCGAAGAAGAAGGCUCUGCAAAAGAUUUCAACAACUGGACGUGAGAACUACUGCAAAAAGAAGUAGUCCUCAGUGGGUACCGCUACCGACCUCAACGGCUCACCCACUAAGUCUACAGAUGUAUACUCAAUGAUAGUAAGGAACUGGAAACAAUCUACAGCUAUAUGACACUAUAUUAUCAUGAUCCAACCCUACAAUCUGUAAAAUAAUACAAUCUCUGACCCAAUCUCACUAGGGACUGUGAAUACACCCGUCCCGCCUGUCGAAGCGAACCCGUACACUACCCCACGAGCAGCCGGUGGAGAAAACUCUCUAGGGACUGAAUAUACCCGUUCCGCCUAAUUAGGCUACACCGUAGCUCUACAGUAGCCGGUGAAGAAAACUCUCUAGAAACUGUGAAUACACCCGUCUCACCUAACUGGGCUAUAC
rnacentral:lncRNA from 1 species